AUGAUUUUAAUUCUUUCUACCUCCGUGUACAUAUCUGGAUAAAAGUAUUGGUUGAAAUGUCACAUUUUGGGCUCACGGUGCUUCCGUGAAUACAGUGUCUUAGAGAUGCUGUGCAUACGUGAAUCGACAAAUUCUGUUACUACUUCAAAAGAAACUUCAUUGCUUGAAAUAUCACUCUGUUUUAGUCCACGGUGCUUCCAUGGCACAGGUUAGCACGUUAUUCAAUAUAGCGUCUGAUACCUGUUAUUUGAUUGAACAUUAUAACCAACACUGUCUGAUACCCUCUCGUGAUUAUUAAAAUAUAAUAAGCUGUAACUAUGGGUGGAAAUGGUAUGUCUAAAAUCACACAAAAUCAGUGGAUGUAGAAAAAAGAAAAAGAUAACAAAAUCUACCAUAUUUAUUGAGAAAACAGAGCCCACCGUAGAUAAGCCGAGCUCUGGCUCAGAGCCAGAAGGAGCUGAAGUGCGCUCUAGCGCACCAUUCAUACAAGUAGGAAAAAGUUUUACAUUGAAACCUCCUAGUAUUAGGGAAGUAAAAGUGAUAUGUGUUGCUCUGCCUUCAACAGAUAAACCUGGUCAUUCUGUUGAUUCACUUAAACACAGCCUAGAUACGGUCAGUCCAGACUUCUAUGAGAGGGAUAAAAGAAGUAGACGCAGAGUGUUUCAUUUUUGUCUAUAUUGUUCAUUUCAUUCAGUGCUUUUAUGUCUAUAAAUCCUGCAGAGAUGUUAGGUAUGAUAUUUGUAUUGUAAAUUACACUGCAUUUUAGUUACUGUUGUUAAAGAACUUAAAGUUAGUCAUUUUUCCUGGUUUGAAAGGUUGCAUUAUACUGGAGAAAAUCUAAUUGGAGGAACGUAAUUUUAAAAAUGAUUGUCAACUUAAAAACUUGUGUCCAUAUUUAUGGUAAUUAAGUACAUAACACUUAAGUUCCUUUUAAAUAAUAUGAAAAAACUAGUUGGAACAACUUAUUUUUAUGAGUAAUCAACUUAAAAACUUGUGUUUAUUAUACAAAUUAUUAAUUUAGUGUUAAUUGAAAAUACAUUUGAUUGUAGAGGAAAAGGUCAUUUCUCUAACUCAGUGUGGUUCGUUGGUUGAAAUUAAUUUAAUUAAAAGUUGUCAUAGCUUCAUUACAAGUUGUCAUGUUUUUUUUGUUGAGUGAGAGAGUGUGUGUGUGUGUGUGUGUGUGUGGAAUGCACAUGAAUGUAUUGAUCUAUGUGAAAGAACGUGUGUGUGUGUGUGUGUGUGUGUGUGUGUGUGUGUGUGUGUGUGUGUGUGUUGCCCGGGGGCCAUCUUGACGCAGUCUUGCCACUGGAUAAUGGUGGUCACCAGGAAGUGAGAAUGAGACCGAUGCUGCACAAGUCUUCCUCACUAUAAUCAAUUCACGUGCAACUCGAGUCCCAGUGUGUGUUCUCCAUAAUGGAGGCAGAAAUGGAAACUUCGGUCUCGUCGAAAUCGACGGACGAACUCCUGUGUGUGUGUGUGUCAUAUUUUUUGGUUGGACGUGUGUGUGUCAUAUUUUUGGUUGGAUUUGUAUGGAAAUUCAUUAUUUAUUAUUUCAUCAGCCUUAUGUAUGUAUGUGUGUGGGGGGGGAACGUAACAGAUUAAAACAAACCUUUAUUAUAUAAACCAUUAUCCAUGUUUGACCUUCACCUGUUAAGAAAAUGAUGGUUGGUGAUGACCUUUUUAACGACAACUCUUAAGAUAAUGACAUAAGUGUAGACCAUAUGUAAUAUUAUCUUUGGUGUACAUCUCUCAACAUAAUUAUGAUUGAUGAUGAUGACUUUUGACCUGCCAAGAUAAUUAUAAUUGCUGAUGACCUUUGACCUAGACCUGUCAAAACCAAUUAAUGAUAUGGACCAUACAAACCAAACCUCUCUCUUAUGAGUGUGUGUGUGUGAAUGGCUGAAUGAGACACAGUGUAAAGUGCUUUUGGAUAAAAGCGUUAUAUAAGUGCAGACCAUCUUUGGGGGCAUUAGCAAUUCCAUAGUUCAGGUGUGUGAUGCUGGGAAAUGUAGUCCAGAAGUUCUCAUAGUAAAAAAUAAAUAAAUUUAAAUAUGUGACACUGAAGUUCAGAUAGGCAUCUUGUGUGUAUUAUUUUUAGUUAAUACAUCACAUUUAUAAACACACUCCCGGCAUGUCACAACUCCUGACCAUCUUGAUAUCAUGUUUUAUCACAAAUUUGUCAUCAUUCCGUCUUCUCCUUUCAACCUACUAGGUAGAGAUUUAAUGUUUAAAUGAAGUGCUCUCUUACAAUGCAUGAUGGUAGAUUCACUCUGUUAACUUCAUCUAAUCUGUGUUUCUCUUCGGUCUGCCAUGUGGGUGAUGAUGCGCACGACACUGACUGCACGGAGCAUCCGCUGCCUGAAGCAUUAGAGGCGGUGCCUAAAACUUUAUGGUAUACUAAUGAAAGCAUACUAAUAAAGGAGGCCUCAUUAAGAGUUCUGCAUGCGUGCUUCGAGGAGCACACACCUGAAGCUUGGUUGGAACAUGUUUGACUGUUUGACCUACAUACAUGACUCAUCACUCUGCUCUGAUCUGUCACAGCAUCCCCUAGAAGGAGGGAAUGAAAUACAUGUUGAUAUCGGUGUUAUAAACGUAAUGACUCACUCUAUACCCUUUAAUUCUGCUCAGGCUGCGGAACUUGUUGCUCUCACACGUGCUUGGCAUCAAUUUAAGGGUAAGACUGUUACUAUUUACACUGAUUCACAUUGUGCUUUCGGUGUUGCACAUGAUUUUGGUAAGAUAUGACAUGCUCAUGGUUUUUUGCCACUGAUGGUACACCUAUAACGCAUUCCAUGCUUGUUUAUGAUCUUUUAGAAGCCUCACUUUUACCUGACAGGCUUGCCUUGUCAGGCUUAACAACCUUAUUGUUAAGGUUAAACGCUCCUCUAACGCAGAACAGGCCUGUGGUAAAUUAACUCACUGAUGAAAUACCUAGGUGGGCCUUGAAAGAGGGCUUGUCCAGCCCCUUUGUCCAGAAUAAUGUCUCCAUUUUUCACGUUUUCACAUUAUCUGACUCCUUGUGACAUUGAUGUCACUUUCUUACAGACACAGGCCUCUCCAGAGAACCUCAAGUUUUGGUCCUCAGAAGGUUGUUCCCCAUUGCACACCGAUGGUUUAAAUACACCGCCUGAUGGCCAUCACACUCUUCCGUCUUCUGUCCUUCCAUUCUGAAUGGCUUAGUGGUUAGCAUGUUUGCCUCACACCUCCAGAGUCUGGGGUUCGAGUCCUGUUGAGGCCGUGUGUGUGGAGUUUGCAUAUUCUUCCCAUGCUGUGGGGGUUUCCUCUGGGUACUGCCAGUCCAAAGACAUGCAUUGUAGGCAGAUUGGUGUGUCUAAAGAGUGUGUAGUGUAUGAAUGGGUGUGUGAGUGUGUAUGUGAUUCUGCCCUGUGAUGGACUGGCACCCUGUCCAGGGUGUACCCUGCCUUGUGCCCGAUGCUCCCUGGGAUAGGCUCCAGGUUCCCUGUGACCCUGAAAAGGAGUAAGUGGUGGAAGAUGGAUGGACUUUCUAUGCUCAAAGGAAAAUUCCAAUACCAUGGUUAAAAUUCUUGCAAAAGAAAUUUAAAGUUAAAAAAACAAAAACUUAUAGUGACAAUGGGACAGCCUUUUGUUUCCAAGGUAGCACAGAAAUUGUGCAAGUAUCUGAACAUUGAUUGGCACUUUCAUAUUCCAUAUCAUACCCAGAGCUCAGGGAUUGUGGAAAGAAAAAAUCCCAGCAUUAAGGAACGCCUUAAUAAGGGGCUCUUAGAGAAGUCUGAAACUACGAAAGGUUGGGAAAGCAGCCCAUUAUGAUUUCAAAAAGAGAUAAUUGAGGCUUUUAGAUUUGGCGUCAUGGAUGUGAAGAGAGGGUGAGCCCUCUUUGGCAGCCCACUUAGCCAUCUCGUCCGCCAAACAAUUACCAAUCUGCACAGAAGGUGUGGCAAUGUUUAACUCAGCAUGAUCUUACAUGAGUUACGAGAGUUAGAGCGCAUGACUGUAGUGGAGCCGGCUGUACUUCCUGAAUAAUUGUCAAUUUGAGUGCUAUCACUGAUUGAGACUGACCACAUCCAUGUCUAACGAUUUACAUAUAGUCCCUGAGGCCACGAAGCAAACCCGAACCAUAACAUUUCCACCACCUGCUUCAUAAUUGGUAUGAGGUGCUUCUCCUGAAAAGCUGUCUUUGGUCUGUUCCAAACAUGUCUUCUGUUACUGUGGCCAAACAACUCAUUGAUUCAUCUAUUCAGAACGCAUUAUUUCAAAAAGCCCUGGUCUUUGCCUAUUUGCUUAUUGGCAAACUGUAUUAUUGUCAUAAUGUUCUUUUUAGACAGCAAAGGCUUUUUCCUGGCACGCCUCAUGCAGGUCAAAUUUUUUUAAAUAAUAUGGGGAUCUUUUUAAAUCCCUUGCCAUACUCAUAGGCAUCCACAGGCCUAAUAGAACUCUUUAGAUCUUGGCAUUAUGACACCACACAGAGGAGUAUAAAUAAGACACAUUCCACCUACACUCCCUAAGCAGGUUCUAAUCACUGGCACCCAAUCUUGAACACAUGAUUCUAAUUUUAUGGAUUUAAAGGUGUGAUGAAUUUAGGGGUGUACAACCCCAAUUCCAAAAAAAACAGUUGUUGUGUUCUCCAGGCUAUAGAGGAAAAGGACCAUCCAAGCUGCUAUCAGCGUUAGGUCCAAAAGCCAGCAUCUGCUAUGGUAUAGGGGUGUGUCAGUGCCCAUGGCAUGGGUAGCUUACACAUGUGUGAGGGCACCAUUAAUGUAGAAAGAUACGUACACGUUUUUCUAGCAACAUAUGUUGCAAAGCUAAACCACAUUCUGCCCGGAUUACAAGCGCAUGGUUGCGUAAGCAGAGAGUGCAGGGCCUAGCAUUGCCUGCCUGCAGUCCUGACCUGUCUCCGAUUGAGAAUGUGUAGUGCAUUAUAAAUCACAGAAUAAGGCAACGAAGGCCUUUUCUGUGAUAUUACACAGUGGUAAACAGUCGACUGUCCCAACUUUUUUGGAGUGUGUUGCAGUCAUCAGAUUUGAAAUGAGUGUAUAUUUUCAAAAAGAAAUUAAAUUCACAAAGUAAAACACCCAAUAAUGUGUUAAUAAUGUGCUUUCAGUAUAGUACAGGGUGAAUUGAAUUUUUAAAUAAUUAUUUUUGUUUGUUUAAUUUAAAUUGUGAAAAUUGCUUCAAAAUUUAAAUUUUAUGUGUCAUUUGAAAGUGUAUCAACUUUAAUAGGCACUGUUUCAAAGAGGAUCAAAUGUUUUCUUGUCCAAAUAUAUUAAAUAAAAAUUUUUUUAAAAAACCUUUCCAUGGGGUGUACUUAUUUUUUUCACAUGACUGUAUGCAUUUUCCAGUUACUUACACUUUCCCUGAGAUUUUUUCUGACCUUUUUUUGUUCUAUUACUACUGUAUAUUCUCUCUGAAAAUGUAGUCCCGUUUCAAAAUGGGUGACUUCUACAGAUUUAAUUUACAAAUACAGUUGAGGAAUUUGUGAAAUCUUUCCACAAAAAUAUGUCACAUAAUUUUUUCUUGAUUUCCCUAACAACUGUGCUUUCUUGGUAGAAAAUGUGUUUGUGUCUCUUGUUUGUGGUAAAUUUUUGUUUGUUUGUUUGUUUUUUAUUUUUAAAAAAAAGGCUCAACUACUAGCAUAUCAAACUUAUAAUAUAUGAAAUUAUUAAAGGUGAUGACUUAACUGGAACAUACUGUUCAGUUAGCUAAAACAGCUAAUGUUAAUGAUUAUCAAAGCUUAGGUUGUUAUGACAUAUUUUGACAGGACUGGUUACUGUUACAAAUGGCUGUGAAUGGAAAAUCAAGACCAGAACUGAGAUACUGAAAUCUUUCACUUUCCUAAGUGAUAUGUCAGCAGUUCCUCAAUUUUAGUUAACAAAGGUCUCUUUGUCAGACUGAAGUUAGUCUGAGGUUAUAUUUCCCCAGUGUAUGCCAUAGGUAGUAGUGUAGUGAACUGGGUAGAGAAAGAGAGUUUGUGGCUGUGUUUGGCUUUCUAAAGGGCUUCACUUAACUGUUCAGAACAGUAACAGGAUGUAUGGCUAUAUGUUUGCUUACAUUAGCAUGUACACACCAGAUGCCAUUUAUUAACAUAAUUUCCUCAUGUGAAGUGAGCAUUUUUGCAUUUUACUUAAAAGGGAAUUUUUGCAGAACUGCACUCUUGUGUUUUCAGGAUGCACCAGUGACAUCUACAGGGCAGGUGCAGCAACAGUCUGCAUGGUACUUGUAAUGGAACAUUUCAGUACAGAUCAAACAGAUCCUUUCAAACUGCCCAUUUCAAUUAAUCAAAUAUCAUAUUUGACUGAUUCAAUUUUGCAUGUAGCAAUAUAAAACCACCAAACGGUGGCAUAUACAUUAUAGCCUAUGUGUAAGUAUGGCAUGUACAGAAGCUUGUACACAGCUUACUUAAAUUUAGUUUGUACCAAUCGAUUUUACGGAUUUGUUGAAUAAUUUUCCAAAAUGAAUCUAUCAAGAUUCCAGAUAAACAAUCCCAUUCUAAAAAUAGGGCGAAUUCAGGUAUAUUGGGAUAUCAAGUAAACUGACAGUUCAAAGUAGCAGACAAUUGAACUUAGCAGACAGUUUAACUUAGGAGAAUUUAUUUUAUGGCCUGAUAUGUGAAAAUCAAAACUGUUACUUUGCCCUUGCAGUGUAACUGCGUAAUAGAAAUAGCAUGACUUAAUUCAUGUUAUCAUAUAAGAGGAUGUGUUUAGCAUCCAACAAGAAAUUGACCUCAAAAGGCUUCAGGUAGGAUAAAUGGCAUAUGCUUUGUCUAGUUAUUUUUUCAGUAGGUUAUAAAAUUGUCAUUAUUAAUAUACACUAUAUGGGCAAAAGUUUAUGGACACCUGAUCAUCACACCCACAUGUGUUUUUUAACAUCCCAUUCCAGAUUUUGCUCUUAUAAUAACCUCCACUUUUCUGGGAAUGCUUUCUACUACAACCACAAUUCCGAAAAAGUUGGGACAGUAAGGAAAAUGCUAAUAAAAACAAAGAGGAGUGAUUUGCAAAUGUACUUUGGUUUGUAAUUAAACAAAAAACGUAUAAAGACAAGGUAUUUGAUGUUUUACCUAAUCAUAGUUUUUUGAAGAUAAACAUUUAUUAUGAAAUUGAUGCAUGCAACAUGUUCUAAAAAAGUUGGGACAGGUGCAUUUUAGGACUAAUAGCAAUGUGACAAGUUGAAAUAAGACGGUGAUGUGCAACAGGUGAGGCAAUCGUCUAAUCAUAGUAUAUAAGUAGCCUCAAAAAAAGGCCUAGUCCUUCAAGAGCAAGUAUGGGUCGAGGCUCACCAAUCUGUCAGCUAACAGCAUUCCACAAAAACAAAUCGGUAGGAGUCUGGGCAUUUCACCUUCUACAGUGCAUAAUAUAAAUAAAAGAUUCAAGGAAUCUGGUGCAUACACAGAUGUAAGUUAAGGCUUUAUUAUGCAAAGCAGAAGCCAUACAUCAACACUGUCAAGAAGCGUUGUUGACUUCUCUGGACCUCGCUUUCUGCAUAGGAUCAUUGUCAUGCUAGAACAUUUUUGGGAGGGGGUCCUUAGUUCCAGUGAAGGGAAAUUGUAAUGCUACAGCAUACAAAGACAUCUUAUACAGUUUUGUGCUUCCAACUUUGUGGCAACAGUUUGGGGAAGAAUCAAAUAUGGGUGUGAUGGUCAGGUGUACCAAAACCUUUGGCUAUAUAGUGUAUAAUACAUAUUUAUCAUGCAAAUAUACAUAAGGCUUCUGAGAGUGUUGCAAGAAAACAAAAUCACUUUCACAAGCUUAUAAGCUCAUAUACAUUCUGUAAUUUCAUAUUUGCUAUUGGGUUUGAAUGCUCAUAGGCUUUGUCCAGAUACCAGGUGCAUGACUGAUAUACUUAUAUACUUGUUUUUAUCUGUUAUACUUGCUUAUACUGUAUCUAUCUUUAUUUUUUAUGCUUGUUUUAUCAUAUAUUUGUACACAAGAUGGUUUGUGCAUGUCCUCAGAAAUUAAUGUAAUAUAAACAGUGAUAUUUAUAUUUGGUAUUUAAAUUGAAGUGCUUCACUAUAUGAGCCGCUUGAUACAACUGAACACAGAUGAAUUAACCCACUUUAGAAAUGCUUUUGGUAAAAAUUGACUUGAUUUAUAAUUAAUCACACAAAUGUUGUUUAUAAAACAAAAGCACUUUACAAAUUGAAGUCAGGCUUGCAUUCUGUUUAUGAUUCCUACCUUGAACCACAGAACUCUCCUUUGUGUUUGCUAUUAUUCGCUAUCCUUGUUUGUAAAUUCUGGUUUGCUUCAUGCAAAUGCUUAACAUGCCUAACAUGCUUGACGAUAUGUGCUAGCAUAAAUCAUCCUUCACAACUGAAGUAUACAAACCAGACCAUAUUUUUCAUUGAAAACCUGGUUUGUUUUUGUGUACAGUUCAGAAAGUAUUCAGACCCUUUUAUAUGAAUUCAUAUGAGAAAAAUAUAUUUGACGUGUAUUCCCAUUAGGGCUGCAACAACUAAUCGAAAAAAUCGAUAAUAAUCAAUAAUUAAAAUGUUCGACAAUGUAUUUCAUUAUGGAUUAGUAGAGUCUGUGACGUCACUGUGGAUAACCCCCAUCAGUGACGUCACUUCACAAUGGGGAAAAAAUCAUUUCUAUGACUAAAACACAUCUGAAAAACAGUGGAGGUCACAGAGUAAAUUGCUGUGGGAAAAGUGCAUGAUCCAGGUUGUUCAAAACAUGAGAAUGUUUUAUAUUAAGUGCUUCAAACAAACUCGUAAGUGUAUUAACGUGGCUUUUUGUGUCAGAUGCUGUGACAGAUGCAUGUGCUGUGUUCCAGACAUGUUUUCUUCAGCGCAGAAAUGACAUUUUUACAUUUAUAUCCUUAUUUGUAAAUGUUAACGCAAUAACAGAAGUAAUUGUGUUUUUAUGAGAGCAGUAACUGUAAUGGGGUUAUAACAUGUAAUUGCCUAUAAAUGUAAGAAGUGUCAUACAUUUACAGAAUAAAGGAACAUGUUACUGUG